rnacentral:rRNA from 1 species
GAUGAACGCUAGCGACAGGCUUAACACAUGCAAGUCGAGGGGCAGCACAGGUAGCAAUACCGGGUGGCGACCGGCGCACGGGUGAGUAACGCGUAUGCAACUUACCUAUCAGAGGGGGAUAACCCGGCGAAAGUCGGACUAAUACCGCAUGAAGCAGGGGUCCCGCAUGGGGAUAUUUGCUAAAGAUUCAUCGCUGAUAGAUAGGCAUGCGUUCCAUUAGGCAGUUGGCGGGGUAACGGCCCACCAAACCGACGAUGGAUAGGGGUUCUGAGAGGAAGGUCCCCCACAUUGGUACUGAGACACGGACCAAACUCCUACGGGAGGCAGCAGUGAGGAAUAUUGGUCAAUGGCCGAGAGGCUGAACCAGCCAAGUCGCGUGAGGGAUGAAGGUUCUAUGGAUAGUAAACCUCUUUUAUAAGGGAAUAAAGUGCGGGACGUGUCCCGUUUUGUAUGUACCUGAUGAAUAAGGAUCGGCUAACUCCGUG